ensembl:lncRNA
GGCUGCAGAACCACUGAGCUAAAUCCUCAGCCCUCGCCCCUCUUUUUUUGAGACAGGGGCUUGCUAAAUUGCAAGGGCUAGGGCCGGGGAUGUAGCUCAGUGGUUCUGCAGCCUGCCUCACAAGCACAAAGUCCCGAGUUCGAUCCCCGGUACCAUAAAUUGCCCAGGCUGAGCUCGCGCUUGCAACCCUCCAGCCUCAGCCUAACAAGUAGCUGGAUGAUUGGCUGGGGCCGCCACGACCUGCUUAGGGGUGCAGUUCUGAGCGCCCACCCUGGAGGGGUCUGGGUGAAUAAGGGUUUGACAGAGUGUUCUUCCGAGAAGAGUUGAGGCAUCCUAGGCAGAGCGGCGACCGCAGCCUCCAUCUCAGGAACCUGAGGAGACCAAGGACAAGGGCUGGGAGGCCCGAGGGACCCAGGACCCCCUUUCCCUGAGCUGCACAACGGGGACGGCGGUGGCAUUGGUGCUGCCGGUGCUCCCUGCUGAAGGAGUCACGGCCCACAGCCCAGAGAGGCCGAGCUGCUUGGCCAGGGUUGACCAGCACUGAGUGGAAGGCUGCUCCUGGCCCUGAGCCCACCUCCCUCCUCACAGUGACCCCACUCCCAGGGCCACAGCUGCAGGACGUCACCCCGACCGCCCGCCUGAUAGGCUCCGAGUGCUCUGCGGUCUCGUGGAACAUCUGGGCCCCCCAGUCCUGGCCCGCAGAGCCUGCCCAGCUGCGCCUCUGAGCCACACCCAGAGGCCUCCCGGCUCUGCCAGGGAGACUGGAAAUUUCUGCUCAGCAGCCCGGUUGGGGUGGAUUUCGACACCACUCAGCGGGGGAUGGGGGAGCGGGUGGGCCGCCAGACAGGCUCUGCAUUCCUGAGGCUCCGAUUCCGGGCACUGGGAGGGGUCUUCACUAGGCCUAUGUGAGUCCCUCAGAAAUAACAGUAACAAAGCCCCCACAGUGGUCCCCCAGGCACCCUGGGAGGCUGAGGCAGGAGGGUUGCAAGUUCUGCCCCAGCACAGUCAAUUCAGCCACUUAGCAAGACCCUGUCUCAAAAUAAAAACUAAUAAUUUUUAAAGAGGCUCUGGGUUCAGUCUUCAGUAUGGCAAAACCAAACAUGGUAACAAAACAGCCUGAAGAACCUUCCAGUGUCCAGGGAACUCAGCCCUAUCACCAGGCCACAGUGUGCAUGACACCCACAGAUCCAGCUAUGUGUUGGGGAGCAGGCUGGGCUGGAAGGGAGGCAGCGCUGGGGUGGGGGCCCAAAGAAAACAGAGGUUCAGCCCUGGGCGGCUUGGCCAGCACUUUGGGCAGCAGAGGGGGAGGCGGCCCUCCCGGGAUACCGGGGACCCCAAGGACUGGGGUAGGACCCUCUCCCCGACCUCUCCCUGACCCCGGGGCUGGGGGCGCCCGGCCAGAUUCAGCCAGGACUAAGCGCCCCAUUAUGCACCCAGGGCCAAACGCAAAGAGGAGCGACGGGACCCCAGGCCCGGGCGGGCGAGGCCCUCCCUGGAAAUGGAUCUAGCGAUCCCUUCCCGGCUGGGGCGUGGGAGCUCGGGGAGCACCCGGUUAAGAAGCCUGGGGGCCGAGGGGACCAAGCCAGUCCCCCUCCGCAGGGCAGGGCGCGGCGCCCGGUUCAGCGGAAAGGAAUGCGGCGCUCGGGGGGAGGCCGAGGCAGCGCACACCCUCCGCCCCCGCGAGUCCGGAGCUGCGGUCUUGCAGGCGAUCGAGCCCGGGAUCAGAGCCUCUCCCGGCCCGAAGUGGGGG